CACGCGCCUCUCGCCGGCCGACCGUGGUGGAAGAAGGACGGGUUACGUUCCCUCGUACUGUUCUUGUGUAUCUUUCUCUGACUUGAGUGGAAAUCGCGUGUGCUUCUGUUCAACAAACGUCGGUAUGGUCGUAGCUAUACGAACGCAAUAGUGUAACGCGUAAAAAACGAUGGAUAGUGCACGCAACCUGUUUCUAUCUUCGCGUCGUUUGUGCGGUUGAAAGUGUUUUGUGUUCGAACUUGCGUGUGCGUAUGAUCUUCUCUGGAACGGGACACCUUACACCACAAUAUCUAUGACUACCCUCAUCCAACAAGAUGAAAUCUUAUUCCUAACUGGACAACCAUCCCGGAUUACGAACAGAAAGCGCGACGAAUCCCUCUUUCAAGCUGCACCGGUACAACCUGAGCGACAUUUAACCGGAAACUUGAUAUCGGUGGACAUUCACCGCUGUGAGCUCUUUCAAUUGAUCGUGGCCUACACGACAAUGAGGAUCAACUACGUCGAAGGGAGCGUGGAGCGGGAACGGUGGUAGUGAGACGGCGCUGCUGCUUCGAGCAAACAGGCCGGUGCCCGAGCGCGAGCAGCACGUCGACGACGUUACAUGAUGGUGAUGGUGGUGGUGGUUUCCGGCCGGUUCUUAUGUCGGAGGGUCCCCCAAAGAAACGGCGAAAAAGGUAGGAACGAUGGUAUCAGCGAAACGAGUUCACCGGGUGGUGGGAUGUUGGAGGAAGGGAAACGGGAUGAAAGAAA